rnacentral:rRNA from 1 species
UUAUAAGAGACAGCAGCAGCCGCGGGAAUACGUAGGUGGCAAGCGUUGUCCGGAAUUAUUGGGCGUAAAGGGCUCGCAGGCGGUUUCUUAAGUCUGAUGUGAAAGCCCCCGGCUCAACCGGGGAGGGUCAUUGGAAACUGGGAAACUUGAGUGCAGAAGAGGAGAGUGGAAUUCCACGUGUAGCGGUGAAAUGCGUAGAGGUGUGGAGGAACACCAGUAGCGAAGGCGACUCUCUGGUCUGUAACUGACGCUGAGGAGCGAAAGCGUGGGGAGCGAACAGGAUUAGAUACCCCAGUAGUCCCUGUCUCUUAUAC